rnacentral:rRNA from 1 species
ACGGAAGGCAGCAGUGGGGAAUAUUGCACAAUGGGCGAAAGCCUGAUGCAGCAACGCCGCGUGAGUGAAGAAGGUCUUCGGAUUGUAAAGCUCUGUCCUAAGGGAAGAAGGAAGUGACGGUACCUUAGGAGGAAGCCCCGGCUAACUACGUGCCAGCAGCCGCGGUAAUACGUAGGGGGCAAGCGUUAUCCGGAAUUAUUGGGCGUAAAGAGUGCGUAGGUGGUUACCUAAGCGCGGGGUGAAAGGCAAUGGCUUAACCAUUGUUAGCCCUGCGAACUGGGCUACUUGAGUGCAGGAGAGGAAAGCGGAAUUCCUAGUGUAGCGGUGAAAUGCGUAGAUAUUAGGAGGAACACCAGUGGCGAAGGCGGCUUUCUGGACUGUAACUGACACUGAGGCACGAAAGUGUGGGGAGCAAACAGGAUUAGAUACCCUGGUA